GUGACAGAAGAGAGUGAGCACACAUGGUGCUUUUCUUGCAUGAAAUAUGUGCUUGAAGCUAUGCGUGCUCACCCUCUAUCUGUCAC
rfam:Beta vulgaris subsp. vulgaris Bvchr2.sca005.con0087.1, whole genome shotgun sequence.